GUAACGGCGAGUGAAGCGGUAACAGCUCAAAUUUGAAAUCUGGCUCCUCUGGAGUCCGAGUUGUAAUUUGUAGAAGAUGCUUUGGGUUGUGGGUUCGGCCUAAGUUCCUUGGAACAGGACGUCAUAGAGGGUGAGAAUCCCGUAUGUGGCCGAGGCCCGCGCCUAUGUAAAGCUCUUUCAACGAGUCGAGUUGUUUGGGAAUGCAGCUCAAAAUGGGUGGUAAAUUUCAUCUAAAGCUAAAUAUGGGCCAGAGACCGAUAGCGCACAAGUAGAGUGAUCGAAAGAUGAAAAGCACUUUGGAAAGAGAGUUAAACAGUACGUGAAAUUGUUGAAAGGGAAGCGCUUGCACCCAGACUUGGGCGCUGCUGAUCACCUUGCGGUCUCCGCGAGUGCACUCGACAGCGCACAGGCCAGCAUCGGUUCGGGUGGCUGGAUAAAGGCCGUAGGAACGUAGCUCCCUUCGGGGAGUGUUAUAGCCUACGGUGCCAUGCAGCCCAGCCGGACCGAGGACCGCGCCUUCGGGCUAGGAUGCUGGCGUAAUGGGUGUAAGCGACCCGUCUUGAAACACGGACCAAGGAGUCUAACAUCUAUGCGAGUGUUUGGGUGGCAAACCCAUACGCGGAAUGAAAGUGAACGUAGGUGAGAACCCCUUUGGGGCGCAUCAUCGACCGAUCCUGA
rnacentral:rRNA from 1 species